UGGUGGAGCGAUUUGUCUGGUUAAUUCCGAUAACGAACGAGACUCUAGCCUAUUAAAUAGUUCGCCAAUCCAUCUUGUCGGCGUCAACUUCUUAGAGGGACAGGUGUCGUAUAGGCACGCGAGAUUGAGCAAUAACA
rnacentral:rRNA from 1 species